UAGUAGGCAUAUUUUGGCGUGCUGUCCUGGGGGAGGGGUCCGGAGCAUAGCCCGAACCCAAAUAACUCCCCCUAUCCCUAAUUUGGGAUAAAUAGAUUAGAUGUGAGGAGUUGGGGUGGAGGAGGGAUGCCGAAAAACUGUCGUGGGACAGGAGGUAGGAAGACUGAAUAUAUAUACGCUUGUGUGCUAUUUAAGAUGAUUAGCUAAACGAGAUGCACCUGUGCCAAAUUGGAUGAUUAUCUGAUCGUGCUUCUCCCGAACUUUGUUAAUAAAACCACAUUUGUUGUGCUCUCGUCUGUAACGUUAGUCUAUCAGUGCCCGCGGAGGCGUGGAGAGAAGCACACAACAAAGAAAAAGCAUCUACAUGUCAGUGUGCCAGCCUACCUCAAAGAACUCUCCAUUUGCAAAAGGGAUGUCUCCGCUCCUUUCUUCUCGCCCCCACUGCCCGUCCGUCCAGGGGUAGCAUAUGUUUAUUCUAACCACAAGAUGGCCAAAGAAAUCCAGCUCCAUUCCCUCCAUUGAGAUGAUGUUCAUUUGAGCGAACGGCAUACGGUGAUUAUAGACCAUUAAUUCUUCCCCGUUGGCACUUAUCUGUGGAGAGCCAUUGUUUAAUGAGCAAAACAGUGGAAACCAAUCAUUCUUUUCAUUCAGCUAGUACAGAAACAGAACAGUAGUGUACUGAAUAAAGAUUUAUCUCCUGUAAUUUGUGGCUAGAAAGUUAACAGUUGUUUUUUGUUUUUUUAUGUCUUUCGGUUACAUCUAUACAAACGGCACAAUGUAGAAAUAGUUUUGUACAGUAAUGUGAAGAUGUACAUAACAUACUGCAGUGGAUACUGAAUAUACUAAUUGUAUAAUGCUAAUUGUUGCUAGUGUUUAAGUGCAUUAGUGUAUGAUUGAAAAAUGUGUUUGGUGAGUGACAGCUUUUGCCAUUUUAAUAGAAGAAUGAGUUGAUUUAAA